GUGAAAUAUAAUAUUCAAAAGACAUGUUUCAGUACCAUUUCCAUUUUUCAGCUGAAUUAUCUUCCUACAAAUUCGGGUUCAAUUCAUCUUACUGAGAUAAAAAGAAGAAAUGAUUCUUAGUAGACAUUUCUAUUUAUGCUUCAUUCAGAGCACAAACUUAAAAGGUCUAAAAUAGAGAAAUGACGCGUUUCUAGAACAGAAACUAGGAAUUAUUCUUGCCGUAGCUCAAUGCUAGUCAGUCAGAUAGCAGUAAGAGCUAUCCAAUUUCAUGCAUUGUGGUUUCUAUCUUGUUG
rnacentral:misc_RNA from 1 species